CUUGGUCAUUUAGAGGAAGUAAAAGUCGUAACAAGGUUUCCGUAGGUGAACCUGCGGAAGGAUCAUUACUGAAGUGCUUGGAGAUGUUGCUGGCUUUCUUCUGAAAGCAAUGUGCACUCUUCCAACUUUUCAUCUCCUUUCACACCCUAUGUGCACUUCUUGUAGGGCUUCUCACAGGCUUUUCCUAUGUGGGAACCUGAGAGAAAGACUCUAUGUUUUUAGCCAUCUUUUACACACUGAAUGUACCUGUAUGUUCUAAAACGAAAGCAAAAAGAAACAACUUUCAACAAUGGAUCUCUUGGCUCUCGCAUCGAUGAAGAACGCAGCGAAAUGCGAUAUGUAAUGUGAAUUGCAGAAUUCCGUGAAUCAUUGAAUCUUUGAACGCAUCUUGCGCCUCUUGGUAUCCCGAGGGGCAUGCCUGUUUGAGUGUCAUGAAAACAUUCAAAGGUAACACUUUUAUUAGUGUUGCCUUUGGACUUUGGGGACAAUAGUGCUGGCGAUAUUUCUAAGUCAGCUUCCCUUAAAUAGAUUAGCAAUGGUCCUUGCUUGCUCUGGCAUUGAUAGGUUUCCUUUUUUCAUGCCUCAGAUUAAGUGGGUUGACUGUUGCUUAUAGCAGUCCUUAGGGACCAAAUGAUCUGUUCAUGACUAACUUGACCUCAAAUCAGGUAGGACUACCCGCUGAACUUAAGCAUAUCAAUAAGGCGGAGGAAAA
rnacentral:rRNA from 1 species